GUGCUCGCUUCGGCAGCACAUAUACUAAAAUUGGAGCGAUACAGAGAAGAUUAGCACGGCUCCUGCUCAAGGAUGACAUGCAAAUUAAUGAAGUGUUCCAUAUUUUU
ensembl:snRNA U6 U6 spliceosomal RNA